UACGGAGGGUGCAAGCGUUAUCCGGAUUCACUGGGUUUAAAGGGUGCGUAGGUGGGUCUGUAAGUCAGUGGUGAAAUCUCCGAGCUUAACUUGGAAACUGCCAUUGAUACUAUAGGUCUUGAAUACUGUGGAGGUCAGCGGAAUAUGUCAUGUAGCGGUGAAAUGCUUAGAUAUGACAUAGAACACCAAUUGCGAAGGCAGCUGGCUACACAUAUAUUGACACUGAGGCACGAAAGCGUGGGGAUCAAACAGG
rnacentral:rRNA from 1 species